UCUCUUCUUCUUCUUCUUCAGAGAGAGAGAGAGAGAGAGUGUUCUCUACAGAGAGAUCUCUCUCUCUGAGGUAAAUAUGAGUGUUUGUGCAGCUGAUCUUUUUACCAUUCCUUGAUUUACAAGAUCUCUCCCUCUCUCUCUGUAAUCGCCAUUGUUGAGCACAGGGCAAGUACAGAGCUGGCGGUUUAUAUCUCAAUCCUUUCGCUAAUUUCGGUCUGAUGGACUACAGCUCUGAUGAAGAUUCAGAUUUGAGCGAGUCAGAGAUCAAUGAAUACAAAGAGAAACCUUAUGAGGAACUGAAGGCUGGGAAGUACAAAGUAAAGCAUGUAAAUGGCGCCCUCAGGUGUCCCUACUGCGCAGGAAAGAAGAAACAAGAUUACAAGUAUAAGGAGCUUCUCCAACAUGCUUCGGGAGUGGGUAAAGGUUCCGCCAACAGAAGUGCAAAACAGAAGGCAAACCACCUUGCACUUGCAAUGUACUUGGAGAUUGACCUAGUGGAUGAGGCAGAGCAACCACAGUGUGUGAUUGAACCGGCUCCAGUAGCUGAGAAGUCUGAACAAAAUGAUCUAUAUUGCUGGCCUUGGACAGGAAUUGUCAUGAACAUUGUUGAUGAGCCAAAGAAUGGAAAAGCUAUAGUUAGCAAUGAAUAUUGGUUGAAGAAGUUCUCUAAAUUUAAACCUCUGGAAGUUGAGAUUUUCUGGGAUGACCAGAACCAAACUUCGCAAGCCGUUGUGAAAUUUGAUAAUGACUGGACUGGUUUUAAGAAUGCAAUGGAAUUUGAGAAGUCUUUUGAAGCUGAUCAUCACAGUAAAAAGGAGUGGAAAGCUCAGGAAGGACUUCAUGGUUCCAUUAUUUAUGGAUGGCUUGCUCGUGAGGAUGAUUAUAAGUCAGAAGGGCCAGUUGGACAAUACCUUCGUAAAGCAGGAGAGUUGAAGACAAUCUCUAACCUUGUCCAGGAAGCCACUCAAGAUAGAAACAAAAUUGUGGCUAACCUAGCCAAUGAGAUCGACAUCAAAAAUGAAAAUCUGAAUGAGUUGCAGUACAAGUACAAUGAGAAGACAAUGUCUUUGAGCAGGAUGCUUGAGGAGAAAGACAUGCUACAUCAUGCUUUCUAUGAAGAAACAAGGAAGAUGCAGCGUCUAGCACGAGAGCACAUUCGAAGAAUUUUAGAUGAACAGGAGAUGCUGAAUUUUGAGUUGGAGAACAAGAGGAAGGAACUUGAUACUUGGAGCAAACAACUAAACAAACGUGAAGCAUUAACUGAACGUGAGAGACAGAAACUUGAUGAGGAGAAGCAAGAGAAUUCGACAAGAAACAAUUCACUGCAAAUGGCUUCCAUGGAGCAGAAAAAGGCCGAUGAGAAUGUCUUAAGGCUGGUUGAAGAGCAAAAGAAGGAGAAACAAGAGGCAUUAAAUAAGAUACUUCGGUUGGAAAGGCAACUAGAUGCUAAACAGAAAUUGGAGAUGGAAAUUGAAGAGCUUAAAGGAAAAUUGCAGGUGAUGAAGCAUUUGGGAGAUGAAGAUGAUGCAGCUGUUCAGGAGAAGAUAAAAGAGAUGAAUGAGGAAUUGCAGCAGAAGGUUGAUGAGAUGACUAGUUUGGAAGACCUAAAUCAAGCACUGAUCGUCAAAGAGCGCCAAAGUAAUGAUGAGCUGCAAGAAGCUCGUAAAGAAUUGAUUGUGGGUUUGAGUGAAAUGUUGAGCAGUCGCACUCUUAUUGGGAUAAAGAGAAUGGGAGAGAUUGAAAUGAAGCCGUUUCAGAAUGCAUGCAAAGAAAAAUUUCCAAAUACAGAAGUAGAAAUCAAGGCCUUAGAACUGUGCUCCUUGUGGCAAGAGAGGAUGAAGAACCCUGACUGGCAUCCAUUUAAAAUUGUCUCUGCUGAGGGAGGAAAUCAUCAGGAAAUUAUAAAUGAGGAUGAUGAAUUGCUCAAAAAUCUCAAGGAGGAAUGGGGAGUUGAGAUAUAUGAGGCAAUCACAACUGCCUUGAAAGAGAUGAAUGAAUAUAAUCCAAGUGGUAGGUAUGUGGUUUCUGAGCUAUGGAACUUCAAAGAAAAAAGAAAAGCCACAUUAAAGGAAGUCAUUGCUUAUAUCUUGAAGACUUUGAAAACACUGAAACGCAAGAGGUGAUGAGGUUGAGGAACUCAGGGUAAUACAGUUUAAAUAUUCAUGGGAUGUCUGAACUAUAUGUACAAGCAUCAAGUGGAAUCAACCUAGUAUGAUGUCAAAGCUGUUCCCAAAGUUGGUUCUUCAUGGUUUACUAUGCAAAUUUUUAUGUUUACCAUUUGAGGUUUCAAAUGGCAUUAUCUGAACUUGUAUGUGAUGAUUUCGAAGGCUCUUCAUGGUUUACUAUUAUGGAACAUUUAAAAUGUAAUGAAGAGAGUUAUGCAGGAGAUGAAAGUACGGAAGGUGGAAGGUGCACUGCACCUGAUAGAACCAAAAUUUGAAACAGAUGUCUUUGUAGGCGCACUUCGUUGCCAACCAUUGGGUGUAUGCUAGGACAAAACUCCUAAAAAAAUUGGAUUGAAUGGUCUCCAUUGUGGAUGAUAUAGCAUUUUAACAUCCGCUUCAGUAGGAAAAUCAGGGAUGUUGUAAUUUGUGUACUUGGCAGUUGGUUAUGAUAUUCUUAAUGGAACUCUUCCCUUAGUCAGUAGCAGCAAGGGCUUUUAAUUUCAGAAACUGUGUUUUUUGUAAUGUUUUGUUUAUUUUGUUUUUAGUCUGCACCCCUUUACCUUUUCUC